GAUGAACGCUGGCGGCGUGCCUAAUACAUGCAAGUCGAGCGAAUGGAUUAAGAGCUUGCUCUUAUGAAGUUAGCGGCGGACGGGUGAGUAACACGUGGGUAACCUGCCCAUAAGACUGGGAUAACUCCGGGAAACCGGGGCUAAUACCGGAUAACAUUUUGAACCGCAUGGUUCGAAAUUGAAAGGCGGCUUCGGCUGUCACUUAUGGAUGUACCCGCGUCGCAUUGGCUAGUUGGGGAGGUAACGGCUCACCAAGGCAACGAUGCGUAGCCGACCUAGGAGGGUGCUCGGCCACGCUGGGACUGAGACACGGCCCAGACUCCUACGGGAGGCAGCAGUAGGGAAGCUUCCGCAAUGGACGAAAGUCGGACGGAGCAACGCCGCGUGAGUGAUGAAGGCUUUCGGGUCGUAAAACUCUGUUGUUAGGGAAGAACAAGUGCUAGUUGAAUAAGCUGGCACCUUGACGGUACUUAACCAGAAAGCCACGGCUAACUACGUGCCAGCCGCCGCGGUAA
rnacentral:rRNA from 1 species